AGAGUUUGAUCAUGGCUCAGAACGAACGCUGGCGGCGUGCUUAACACAUGCAAGUCGAGUGCGCGGUUGUAGCAAUACAACUGGCGCACGGCGCACGGGUGCGUAACACGUGGGUAACCUGCCCUUUGGUGGGGAAUAACCCCGGGAAACCGGGGCUAAUUCCGCAUAAGAUCCGCAAGGAUGAAAGCCGCAAGGCGCCGAUGGAGGGGCCCGCGCACGAUUAGCUAGUUGGUAGGGUAAUGGCCUACCAAGGCUUUGAUCGUUAGCUGGUCUGAGAGGAUGGCCAGCCACACUGGAACUGAGACACGGUCCAGACUCCUACGGGAGGCAGCAGUGGGGAAUCUUGCACAAUGGGCGAAAGCCUGAUGCAGCGACGCCGCGUGGGGGAUGAAGCAUUUCGGUGUGUAAACCCCUUUCGACCCGGACGAAUGCCUCGCAAGAGGAGUGACGGUACGGGUAUAAGAAGCCCCGGCUAACUACGUGCCAGCAGCCGCGGUAAGACGUAGGGGGCCAGCGUUGUUCGGAAUUACUGGGUGUAAAGGGUCAGUAGGCGGUGUGGCAAGUUGGGAGUGAAAUCUAUGGGCUCAACCCAUAGGCUGCUUCCAAAACUGCUGUGCUUGAGUGUGGGAGAGGCGCGUGGAAUUGCAGGUGUAGCGGUGAAAUGCGUAGAUAUCUGCAGGAACACCCGUGGCGANNNCGGCGCGCUGGACCACAACUGACGCUGAAUGACGAAAGCUAGGGGAGCAAACAGGAUUAGAUACCCNNGUAGUCC
rnacentral:rRNA from 1 species